UACGUAGGGUGCAAGCGUUGUCCGGAAUUAUUGGGCGUAAAGAGCUCGUAGGCGGUCAGUCGCGUCUGCUGUGAAAACUCGGGGCUUAACCCCGGGCCUGCAGUGGGUACGGGCUGACUAGAGUGCGGUAGGGGAGACUGGAAUUCCUGGUGUAGCGGUGAAAUGCGCAGAUAUCAGGAGGAACACCGGUGGCGGAGGCGGGUCUCUGGGCCGUAACUGACGCUGAGGAGCGAAAGCCAGGGGAGCAAACGGG
rnacentral:rRNA from 1 species